CUUCUCCAACCUCAAGGCCACGGCUGCCCAAAAUGUUUAGCAGAGGAUGGUUUCGAUCCAUCGACCUCUGGGUUAUGGGCCCAGCACGCUUCCGCUGCGCCACUCUGCUUGGUGCCAUCAGAGGUUAUUGGACGCCUCUUGGGUCAGAGAAAGGUUGAUCUCUUGCGUGCUGACUGUGGGAACCGUGGCACACGUGCUAAACGCACACACGCAGCUGAGGCCGUGGUCGAGGGUUUAGGCACCACGUGUCCAUAAAAGGUCAUGUGGAAACAUGUGAACGAAAGAAAAUGGAGAAAGUUUCUUUUUCGAGUUUGGAAUGUAUGACAUGUCCAUUGAGAGUUUGCUUUCUUUCUCCCCCCUCUAACUGCCUUUCUCACUCUCUCCUCACCCCUUCCUUCUGCUAAGCUCCCAGGGUGGAGAGUUUUGAUGGCACCCAAAGGGCCAACCAGGCUGAGCUUGCCACUGGUUGAGGUAUUGGAGUUGAACCUCUUGCCCUGCCGCAGACACGACUGUGGACUCUCUCUGCACUGACACAGGCAGGUGUCGGGGUUGAGGGGUUGGUUACCGGGACACUCUGCAGCGCACACGCAGCCACACAGCUCCUCAUCCCACCGCUGGCCGGUGGGACACAACUUCCCAUCACCUUGACCUUCACACUGGCAUUCACCUGAGAGGAGAAAGAGUGUUGUGGUCCAGUUUCCAGCCUGGAUCGCAGCUGUCCUCAGUGAGUCCGUUUCGACAGACACACUCGCAGGUGGACUCAUCCAGAACUCUGUUGGGCCCACAGAGCGCCAGCAGACCUGAGUCCAGCGCCUCUGGAAGCCACAUGGAGAUGGAAAAAAAAAGAUGAUCUGUUGCGGCUCGCCUUAUGAUGGAGUGCAGUGGCCGCUUGGAGAGGCAUUCGCACGAAGUGUGGUUUAUAAAGGUUACCAUGACGACAGAGCGGUCCAUCCUGGGCGGGGUCAGCUCCAUCAGCUGGCAGAACACAGAAGGAGAUCUUCAUCGUUAGAGUGGACCAGAGGGCUUGCUGAGGAGGUGGAAAAAGAGGGGAAAGAGGAGGCAUAGGAGUCGCGCCAUGAUUUCUUUCUCAGGCAGUGCUGAAGCAAACUGUAUUCUGGAUACAGAAGCUGUA